GACGAACGCUGGCGGCGUGCUUAACACAUGCAAGUCGUACGGUAAGGCCCUUUCGGGGGUACACGAGUGGCGAACGGGUGAGUAACACGUGAGUAACCUGCCCACAACUUUGGGAUAACGCUAGGAAACUGGUGCUAAUACUGGAUAUGUGCUCCUGCUGCAUGGUGGGGGUUGGUAAGCUCCGGCGGUUGUGGAUGGACUCGCGGCCUAUCAGCUUGUUGGUGGGGUAGUGGCCUACCAAGGCGGCGACGGGUAGCCGGCCUGAGAGGGUGACCGGGCACAUUGGGACUGAGAUACGGCCCAGACUCCUACGGGAGGCAGCAGUGGGGAAUAUUGCACAAUGGGCGCAAGCCUGAUGCAGCAACGCCGCGUGCGGGAUGACGGCCUUCGGGUUGUAAGCCGCUUUCAGCAGGGACGAAGCUUUUUGUGACGGUACCUGCAGAAGAAGCACCGGCUAACUACGUG
rnacentral:rRNA from 1 species